rnacentral:rRNA from 1 species
GAUGAACGCUAGCGGCGUGCCUAAUACAUGCAAGUCGAGCGAACAGACGAGGAGCUUGCUCCUCUGACGUUAGCGGCGGACGGGUGAGUAACACGUGGAUAACCUACCUAUAAGACUGGGAUAACUUCGGGAAACCGGAGCUAAUACCGGAUAAUAUAUUGAACCGCAUGGUUCAAUAGUGAAAGACGGCUUUGCUGUCACUUAUAGAUGGAUCCGCGCCGCAUUAGCUAGUUGGUAAGGUAACGGCUUACCAAGGCAACGAUGCGUAGCCGACCUGAGAGGGUGAUCGGCCACACUGGAACUGAGACGCGGUCCAGACUACUACGGGAGGCAGCAGUAGGGAAUCUUCCGCAAUGGGCGAAAGCCUGACGGAGCAACGCCGCGUGAGUGAUGAAGGUCUUCGGAUCGUAAAACUCUGUUAUUAGGGAAGAACAAAUGUGUAAGUAACUAUGCACGUCUUGACGGUACCUAAUCAGAAAGCCACGGCUAACUACGUG